CCAGCUUUGAUCAGGUGCCACAGCUGGCCGCACAUCCGCGGGACUUGGUAGCGAAAUGGAUGCAGCUUGACACGCCCCGGGAACGCAUCCGCCACCUCCUGGAUUGCUCCAGGAAUCCGAGGCCGACGCUCUUCUGGAACCCGACAACCCGCCAAGCUCUGUAUCUCGAGCAGCGUCACACAGCUGCUGCUGCCCAUGAGCCCCCACACAAACUGAACCUCGUCGCUGUUCCACGCGCUCUCGACGUCCACCUCGGUUGAGUAGGGCGAGAAAAUGCGGACGCGCAACGGUGCAUGCCUGUCACUCCACUCCUCCAGGCUCAACAGCUGCAUAGGAUAUAUAUAUCAGAUCGAGAACUAUCACUGAAAUCAUCCUCCAUAAUACCUUGAUCGCCCUGCGAGCGACUUCGAGCACCUCGAGGCC
rnacentral:lncRNA from 1 species